UACGUAGGGGGCAAGCGUUGUCCGGAUUUAUUGGGCGUAAAGAGCGUGUAGGCGGCCAGGCAGGUCCGCUGUGAAAACUCGAGGCUCAACCUCGAGAGGUCGGUGGAAACCGUCUGGCUAGAGUCCGGAAGAGGAGAGUGGAAUUCCCGGUGUAGCGGUGAAAUGCGCAGAUAUCGGGAAGAACACCCGUGGCGAAGGCGACUACCUGGCCUGUUCUUGACGCUGAGGCGCGAAAGCUAGGGGAGCAAACGGG
rnacentral:rRNA from 1 species